AUACGAAGGGUGCGAUCGUUAAUCGGAAUUACUGGGCGUAAAGCGCGCGUAGGCGGUUGGAUAAGUCGGAUGUGAAAGCCCCGGGCUCAACCUGGGAAUUGCAUUCGAAACUGUCCGGCUAGAGUAUGGUAGAGGGAAGCGGAAUUCCACAUGUAGCGGUGAAAUGCGUAGAUAUGUGGAGGAACACCAGUGGCGAAGGCGGCUUCCUGGACCAAUCCUGACGCUGAGGUGCGAAAGCGUGGGGAGCAAACAGGAUUAGAAACCCUAGUAGUCC
rnacentral:rRNA from 1 species